GCCUGAAGUGGUUGUAAAGCACUUUCAAUAGGGAGGAACACCUGCUGGCGAAUACCCGGCAGACUGACAUUACCUAUACAAGAAGCACCGGCUAACUCCGUG
rnacentral:rRNA from 1 species